rnacentral:lncRNA from 1 species
GUGAUCACCAAGUGUAAUUUGCAAAAUUGAUCAACAAACUAAAACAUGUUGCAAUGAUCCUACCAUCCUUAUAUCCCAUGAAUGAGUGCGAGUACAAAAGGUACUUGAAGCUAAAUUUGGAUGGAGAAGCAGGGAGUAGUAAUUCAGACAAGUUUUCAAAAACAGUCUGCAGCCACAAUUAUGGCCACAAUAUUAAUUUUUUUCCUGACUACCGCAAUUUGUGUCGGCUGUAUUUGACUGCAAAUUUAUGGAAUACCAAGAAUUGCGAUGAAACCACAAAUUAAAGACCUUGGGUGGAGUGGUAAAAUGAUCUAAAUCUGUUGUAUGGGAGUUUUAUUAGAAAAGGGUGAGAUGUUAAAGAGGGAAACCUAAACUACUGAAUAACAAUCUGUUAAGAGUCCCACAUCGGUUGAGGUAUGGCCUGACUAAGUGUUUAUAUACUAGAGGCAAUCCUCACCUUACAAGCCGGUUUUGUAAGGAUGAGUUAGGCCCAAUAUCCAUUUCUAAGAUGGUAUCAGACAAUGUUUUAAAACCCGGACCAGUGAUCGACCCGGUCAAGGCACUGGGUCACUGGUCAGACCAGUGGGUCACUGGUCAGACCGCAUGACUAUUGACCCGGCUUAUAUAAAAAAUUUAAAUAUAUUAACUUGAAUUUCAUAACAAUAAAAUUUAAUAAAUAAAAAAUUUCUUCAAACUUUUUUCAAUAAAAUUUCAUAUAUUUAAAAGAAAAAACUCAAAAGCUUUUCAUUUCAUCAUUAUUUAUAUUUUGAUUCACAUAUCUAACCGUAUAAUAUUAUAAUUUAGUCAAUAAAAGUAUUAUUAUAUCAUAAUUUUUAAGUAGAACAACAUAAUUUAUAAGUCCAAAAAAAAUAAUACAUAAUUUAAUAUAUUAUAUUAAAAUAAAACAGUGAAUAUAUAUUAAAUUAAAAAUAAUAAGGAAAAAAAUAUCAAUGUAUUUAUUAAUAGAUGCCAUGGUGUUUUAUAACUAAUAUACUAGUAUUAAAUAUAUUUCAGUUAUUUAGAAUAACAUAUAAAUGUGAGUGGCCUAGUGGUAGUAGUGAUGUUGUUGUAUCCAAGUAAUCUGAGUUCGACUCCCAUAUGCAACAUAUUUAGAAUUUUUUUGAAAUAAUUGAUUUCCUCUUCAAACCGGUUCGGUUCACGCGUGCGGGUUAACCCGGUUCAACCAUCAACCCGGCCAGGUCACAGCGGGUGAGAGGGGUGUGUUAAGAGUCCCACAUCGGUUGAGAUAUGGCCUGACUAAGUGUUUAUAUACUAGAGGCAAUCCUCACCUUACAAGCCGGUUUUGUAAGGAUGAGUUAGGCCCAAUAUCCAUUUCUAAGACAAUCAAACCUAAAUCUGUUGUUUGUAACGCGUUCUUUCUAAAUGCUAAUUUACAAAGUUUGUUUCCUUUCUCGUUCUACAUCUAAUCAUUGUGAACAAGAGUUUGUCCUCUCUGUAUUACUUUCCCACCUGGCAUGCAUAAGUGAAAAUUGAACAACUCAUGUGAAUAGUGUUGUUAAAUAGCAGCUAUAUGGGCGCUACAGCGUAGCAGAAUUUAAACAAAUCACUGUCUAUAUGGGCACUAUUUUGCAGUGGAAUUUGAAGAAACCACCAUUUUUUCCAAUUUGCAAUUGACAAACCGAACAGAUCUACAAAGCUCUAGAGCAUAUGAUAUAACUUCAGAUGAAGAUGGUCCACUGCCAAUCCCCUCAAUGGCACUCUUCCUCUUCCAACAUGUCUAGUCAUUCAGGUGAAUAUUUCCCUAUUCUACCUGAAUGAUAUAACAGAAUGCCACCUCAUCCGAUAUUAAUCUCCUCCGACUAAAUCGCGCUCAACCAGCCCCAUAUUCUUUCUUCUCAAAUACACUGUCCUAAUUCUAAAUUCUCAAAAUGCUAACUCAGCAAUUCCUAAUUUGCUAUAGUCCAUGCCUACAAGUAUGUCUCCUUGAAAUUUUGGCUAACUGGUAUUUGUCAUAUUUUCAUACAUGAUUGUGUGCCAGGUAUU